CGCGCACACGAGCCGCCGACCAUCUUCAGACUGCGCGGAGCUGGAGGAGCGGCGGAGGCUCUGCGCAGCUCCACGGCGGAGAAGUGGAAGCAGAGGGAGGCAGAGGAGUAAAGGGGCAACAAGACAACAACAUGAAGAGGAGAACAAUACGACUGCAGGAUGCAUCCAAACAACUAAUGUUUUGCAGAUAUCCCUCAGGACUGGGAAGCAAAUUAUACAAUGUGGUGGCUGCUGAAAUACACAAAUGGGAAGGACUA